GAGCUCUGGAGGGAAAGAGACAAAAGACAAUGGUUACUACUGUGAUGAUGGGAGAACACACAUCUGUCACUUUGUCCAGGACUGGCUGUCUCCAACAAAAUCAGCUCAAGAGUCAAAUGUUUGAUGCAAAAAGCUAUGCUUGCACUAGGAAUUUGAAACGAAGAGCCACUGUAGCUCACUCAUAAGAAUAACAAUGAGCCACAAAAAGCCACAAAUUUCUGUGUCAGUGCUCGCGGAAAAAAUGGAGUCAUUUUCCUGCAUUCUGGUGUAUUUUGAGGUAAAAAAUGCUCAAUUAAACAGUUCUAUUUUAACUAUUUUAUUUCUACUUAUAUGUAUGUAUGUUGUUAUUUUAAACAUAUAUGUUAAUGUUCGGGUUGGGGUGGGGUCUUUGACGACCCCCCCCCCCCCCCCCCGCCAACAACGUGAAAUGUUUAAGUCUAAGUCCUGAAUAUAAAUAUCAUCACAAAGUGUGAGUCUGUAUCAUUUUGCUAAACUUUCAGAUCCAAAUUUAAUGUUCUUUUCGUAAAAACAGGCAGUCAGGGGUGAAGACACAUUCCCAUGUACAGUGCCUUGUGAAAGUAUUCGGCCCCCUUGAACUUUUCAACCUUUCGCCACAUUUCAGGCUUCAAACAUAAAGAUAUAAAAUUUAAAUUUUUUUGACAAGAAUCAACAACAAGUGGAACACAAUCAUGAAGUGGAACGAAAUUUAUUGGAUAUUUUAAACUUUUUUAACAAAUAAAAACCUGAAAAGUGGGGCGUGCAAUAUUAUUCGGCCCCCUUGCAUCAAUACUUUGUAGCGCCACCUUUUGCUGCAAUUACAGCUGCAAGUCGCUUGGGGUAUGUCUCUAUCAGUUUUGCACAUCGAGAGACUGAAAUUCUCAAGACAGUCUGGCUGCAGACCUCCACUCUCAGGACCCUUCCUUGCAGACCUGCACUGUGAGGUCUCCUCCACUCUCAGGACCGGAAGUUUAUUCGAACCCUUUCAAAAUACAAAUAAAAUUAUAUGCAGAUGUGGACUGAACUGCAGGGAUCAGGGACACUACCAUUUUCCUGUGUGCAGUGAAACUGUUUUGAGAAGGACAGACAUGACCAAACACUUGGAGGUUUGCCAGCGUGCCAUGACUGCUGCCUCUCCAGAAAAGACCUCUCCUCCCGCCCACAAAAAUACAGCUGCAGAGUCCACCUCGGUCUUGAUGCCGGAUCUCUCCUCUUCCAGUUCACCUUCAGCAGAGCAACAAACCUCAGCUGCCACACCUCUGUCCACGCUCCUGCAAGCCACAGUCUCAACCUCUCAAGAUUUGCAAGAUACAGCUGCAGUGCCCUCCUUGGUUUUACCUGCUGCCACGGAGAAAAGACGUUCAAGAUUAUCCCUGAAAAAGGAUAAAUGCCCUCAUUGCAACCAGACAAUCUACAAAAAAAACAUGGUCAAACAUAUCCAGAGAAAACACAGUGGAAAAUCAAAGGACAUAAACGUUAAGAAUCACUUCAUGAGUGUCUGUGUCGAUGCCACCAAUGGCAUUUCUGCAGUGCAGAAAACAAGGCAUGGGUUUUAGACUGAAGUAAAAACUGGAUGACAUGACUGAGGCUGAGGAGAGGAAGAAAAUGUGCCACCAGGUAGAGACAACGGAACCAGCUCACCAGGUGGGGACAACUGAAGAAGAGACCAGUAUGGUGGGCCAAGUUGUGGCCCACUGCAAACAGGCAGCGGAAUGGGUGCAGGGGAACCCACAACUGUUUACAGCCAGGGUGGAGAUGCCAGAAAUUUGAAACAUGGACAGCAGAUCUAUUGAGGAGGCUCAACAGCAACUGGCAAACUUGUUCAAUGCCACCCAGGACAUUGAUGAUGAUGAGAAAGAAUUCAUUCUGGAGCCCUUCAACUUUUUCUUUUACAACAUUGAGGAUAUGUUUGUCUUCUGUGAAGAGGUUAUGGAUAACCGAGGCUACAUGGCAUUUUGUGAAUUCAAAGACAAAUAAAAUGUUUGAAAGUUUGUUUUGUGUCUACUGUUUUCUCCUGUAACAGAGGUUAUUGGCUCUCUGGGUCAUGUAACAAGGUAUUCAGUAACUAGGUAUUCAGCAAUUCAGUGAAUUGAAUACACAAAACUUAAUCAAAAAAUUAAUCAACCCUUACAUCCUCCAUUGGCAAAUCCAUGUGGUCUGACAGCACAAGGUAAGAACAUAGCACAAACAUUAUUAAGUAAUUAUGAAAUGAAUUAUGAUGAGAAGAAGAUGAAUAAUUGUAAACACAUACUAUAUACCUAUAUAAAAGAAUGGAGUAAAUCAAUGUGUAAAUGGGUCCAACAGUGCAGGAGGCUACAUUUUCAAUGAUAAAUAAUAGUAUGGUAACAAAGAACAGUCAGCAAUAGGUUGGAGUGUAGAAGCAUUAUGCCAUCACACAUUAGGGUGCACUGUUUCAAAACGAAUAUGUGGUGCAAACUAAACUAACAGCUGUCCUUUUAGCCAAUUAAAUCAAAAUACUGUGGCAUAAAAUAAUGCAGUAAUGAGAAAUAAUGUUUUAAGGGGAUCAUAAAAAUAGCUGUACUUCUAGUUUGCAUUAAUUAUCAGCAGAAAAACUGUCGUUGGUCGUGCCGUUUUUGAUUUUCUUGCAUUUUAUCCAGUUUAACUGGAAACAUAGUAUUUUUUAAAUCUUAAUCAGACAUUAAUACACAUAAAUAAUAUUUACAUAUUUAGACAUAAAAUAAUGCUCACGGAAAACUAGAAAACAUGUAGGCUUCUGGUAUACUCGCUUUUAAAUCAUAUUUACAUUAUAUACAUAUAGUAUAUUCACAUGGGAAACGAGAAAUACGUGCUUCCGGUAUACUCGCUUGUAUUUUGAAAGGCUUCGAAUAAACUUCCGGUCCUGAGAGUGGAGGAGACCUCACAGUGCAGGUCUGCAAACUUCUCCACAACAGUGUCUCGGACCUGCCUGGUGUGUUCCUUGGUCUUCAUGAUGCUCUCUGCACUUUAAACAGAACCCUGAGACUAUCACAGAGCAGGUGCAUUUAUACGGAGACUUGAUUACACACAGAUGGAUUCUAUUUAUCAUCAUCAGUCAUUUAGGACAACAUUGGAUCAUUCAGAGAUCCUCACUGAACUUCUGGAGUGAGUUUGCUGCACUGAAAGUAAAGGGGGCCGAAUAAUAUCGCACGCCCCACUUUUCAGUUUUUUAUUUGUUAAAAAAGUAUAAAAUAUCCAAUAAAUUUCGUUCCACUUCACGAUUGUGUCCCAAUUGUUGUUGAUUCUUGACAGAAAAUUAAAAUUUUAUAUCGUUAUGUUUGAAGCCUGAAAUGUGGCGAAAGGUUGAAAAGUUCAAGGGGGCCGAAUACUUUCACAAGGCACUGUAUAUAUGCAUUUGGCCACUUAAAAACCUGUACCUGAAACAUGUUCAUGAUUAAAACUUUUUGACCCAUAAUAAUCUUAAUUUCAUGUCCAAUUUACCUUCUUUUCCUCCUAUGUCCAAUUCUUCAACCCUCACUAUGUACCAUAUCUCAAAACUGUAGCAUAAACUCAACAAAAACCUCCUCUUUCUCGCUUUUCCUGAUCGCAAAUGACUCGCCUUGUGGCACACCAUUCAGAGAUUGGCCGAGAGCGGGUCAUGACCCGGGCGCGUGAUCAAGAUUUAGGUGGCUCCGACCAUUUCCGAUGCGUGCCAAGAGAAAAAGUUUGUUUUUCUUAUAUUAUCGCUUGGGCGUUUCGAAGAAAAAGUAAGUCAAACCCUUUUUUGUUGCUUUUUACAAGAAAUAUAGAGCGCCACUGUGGCUCACACGGUUCAGAAUGACUGCGCCAUCCAGAAAAACGAUGCGCCAAUGGCGCUGUGGCGAUCGGCUAGCGCAAGCCUAGAAAAGAAUAUGAUGGUGUCUAAUAGAAAUCUUGGAGCCAUGACACAGCAGCAGGAAUGAUACAAGCAUCUCCAAAUGACUGAACAUUUCUGUGAACACGUUGUUCCACAGUGGAUACAGGAUCACAAAGUUCUAAUGGUAAACACCACUGGGUACUUUUCUACACACCACACAGACAGGUUUGAUGGGGAUCCAUUAAAAUCUGUCUGAAUAAAGCUGCUGUCCUCUUCAGCCUUCAAACCUGUCAGGACAUUUGGAUUUUAAUGUUAUUCUUAUUUUACUGCUGGUUACUGUACUGUUGAUUUGACUCAUCAGUGAAACCCAACAUGUUAAUAGCGGAAUGCAGUUGAACACAUUACUUCUAUACUCUCUAACUCUGUACGUGCGCUUUCUUUAGAUCAUGAAUGAUCUCUAUACAUGGAAUUAUGUCUCUGGACUGAAAUGAUGGAAUGACUGAGUCCUCUGUCAGAGUUUUAUUAUUAAACUGUUUGAUAACACAA